rnacentral:rRNA from 1 species
AAUUGGCAGAUGCUAAUAAUGCAGUCGAGCGGACAGAUGGGAGCUUGCUCCCUGAUGUUAGCGGCGGACGGGUGAGUAACACGUGGGUAACCUGCCUGUAAGACUGGGAUAACUCCGGGAAACCGGGGCUAAUACCGGAUGGUUGUUUGAACCGCAUGGUUCAAACAUAAAAGGUGGCUUCGGCUACCACUUACAGAUGGACCCGCGGCGCAUUAGCUAGUUGGUGAGGUAACGGCUCACCAAGGCAACGAUGCGUAGCCGACCUGAGAGGGUGAUCGGCCACACUGGGACUGAGACACGGCCCAGACUCCUACGGGAGGCAGCAGUAGGGAAUCUUCCGCAAUGGACGAAAGUCUGACGGAGCAACGCCGCGUGAGUGAUGAAGGUUUUCGGAUCGUAAAGCUCUGUUGUUAGGGAAGAACAAGUACCGUUCGAAUAGGGCGGUACCUUGACGGUACCUAACCAGAAAGCCACGGCUAACUACGUGCCAGCAGCCGCGGUAAUACGUAGGUGGCAAGCGUUGUCCGGAAUUAUUGGGCGUAAAGGGCUCGCAGGCGGUUUCUUAAGUCUGAUGUGAAAGCCCCCGGCUCAACCGGGGAGGGUCAUUGGAAACUGGGGAACUUGAGUGCAGAAGAGGAGAGUGGAAUUCCACGUGUAGCGGUGAAAUGCGUAGAGAUGUGGAGGAACACCAGUGGCGAAGGCGACUCUCUGGUCUGUAACUGACGCUGAGGAGCGAAAGCGUGGGGAGCGAACAGGAUUAGAUACCCUGGUAGUCCACGCCGUAAACGAUGAGUGCUAAGUGUUAGGGGGUUUCCGCCUCUUAGUGCUGCAGCUAACGCAUUAAGCACUCCGCCUGGGGAGUACGGUCGCAAGACUGAAACUCACAGGAAUUGACGGGGGGCGCGCACAAGCGGUGGAGCAUGUGGAUUUAGUUCGAAGCAACUCGAAGAACCUUACCAGGUCUUGACAUCCUCUGACUAUCCUAUAGAUAGGACGGUCCGCUUCGGAGGCAGAGUGACAGUUGUUGCAUGG